CUAAUCUUCCAUCUUCUAAUGACAUUUAUUAUUUUAGUGGUAGUUAAAUUUACCUAAAUAUCCAUAUCCAUAACUAACCUUCCUAUAAAAGCCAUGACACUCCACAAAGCUUAAAUUAGAAAAAUGUUAUUUUUUCAUUUACUAACUUUCUUUGUGAUAUUUGCUUCCGUUCGGACUAAUAAACCAGAUAUAAUCAUACCAGGGUUGAAUGAGGCUGAACAAAAGGAAUAUACAAAAUGCCUUAUAGGUGAGGAAAAAAAAAAUUCAGUCGCAUUAGGAGUGGGAUGCGGUAUACAAUGUUUUUUGCGAGUUACUGGAUCGAUUGGCAAAAAUAAAAUUAAC